CCCUGCUCAGUCCUUUCCAUUUGUUUGCUGCAGCAUGUGGGUUAGCAUGAAGCCUCGCUAAUCCUUCCUAGUUGACUGUGUACUGGAUGCAUUACUUGACUGUUCAAUCACCUGUCAGUCAACUGUUGAAGUGGGAAACUAAGGACAAUAAACUGUUGAACGGCUCUCAUCUCUGGUCCUCAUACUCUAACUGGUGUGCCAAUGCAGAAGCUCUAUAUAUUAUCCAGCUUCCACAACCGCAAGUUUCUACACCAGCAACUUAAUCAAACAUUUGAAGACGCGUCACACUAAAGAGCACGACGAAUUUACCAAAGCUAAGGGGAAAAAGAAUGACGAAUUGCAGCAGCAAACUCUGGAAACUGCCUUCCAGCGAUGAGAUAAAUUCCCCAAAGACAGCCAAAAAGCAACAAAGAUAACCGACAAUGUUGGAGUGGACGUGCCUGCAAUCAGCUUUACCACAGACAUUUGGAGCUCUGACGUGUGCCCCAUGUCUUUGCUAAGUUUAAUGUCACACUGGGUGGACAGAGUCAACAUUUACCCCUCAAAGUGCGGUGCUGCACGCCAACGAGUUCCGAGGGUCACAUACUGGCACAUUCAUUGCCGAAGCAAUUGAGGGGAUGCUAGUAAAGUGGAAAAUUCCCAAGUCCAACGUUCAUGUUUUGCACGACAACAUGAAGAAAGCCAUGGACGAGAUGUAUGUACCAAGUUUGGGAUGCUUCACCCACACUCACCAGCUGGUGGUGCAUGAUGGGCUACUGUCACAGAAGUGAGUGAUGCACUGGUGAAUGGUAGGAAGAUAGUCACGCAUUUCAAACACUCGCCACUGGCUACUACAUGCCUGGAAGAUAUUCAAAAAGAUCCAAAUGCCCACCAAACGUCUGCACCAAGACGUAGCAACGAGGUGGAACAGUACCUUCUAUAUGGUUGAGUUUACUGGAGCAGAAGCGGUCAAUUUCAGCAUACAGAGCUGACCAUGACCUGCCAGUGACCCUUACGGCUAACCAGUGGGCUUUACUGGAGAAAAUAAUCACUGUUCUAGCACCAUUUGAAGAACUGACCAGAAAGAUUAGCUCCUCCACCUCUUCUGCAGCUGAAGUAAUCACCUCAGUCACAGUGCUGAAACGUCUGCUUGCCUGGGAGAACGAGGGGGACACGGGUAUAAAAACCAUGAAAACAACCCUUCUUGAGGCUGUCCAGAAAAGAUUUAAGACCAUCGAAUGAGCCCUUGUAUGCAGUUGCCACUCUUUUAGACCCACGAUUCAAAGACGGAUGCUUCACUGGAGCACACAGCAUCAAGCAUGCCAAGGAUGCUCUGACCCGAGAGGUGGAGAAGAUGGAGUUACUGAGCAGGACCACACCUGAGGGAGCAGAGACAGUGCCAGAAAACCCCCAUAAAGCCCCACAUAUGGAAGCACAGCUAGCAGAAAGAGCAGCUUGAAAGGCCUGUUUGAGGAAAUCCUGCAGGAGCAUGAUGAGGAAUAAGUAGCACAAGCACACAAGUUCAAAUAGACAUAUUUGACAGAGCAAACGGUCCCACGCUCAGACAGCCCAUUCCAGUACUGGGGAGUCAACGAAAUUCGGUUUCCCACCCUGGCUGCCACCGCUGCAAAGUUUCUUUGCUCCUUGUACCAGUGUUGACAGUGAGACUGUUCAGUGCAGCAUCCAACAUUGUUGAUGCAAGAAGGAACAGGCUAGGAGGAGAGAGGACAGAAAUGCUCAUCAUCUUGAAGAAAAAUCUGCCUUUGCUCUUGAAAUUAUGAGCAAAAUGCUACUGCAGUGUGUAGCCUACUUGUUUUAAAGUAUAUUUUGUUUAAUGUGUAGCUGCUGCUCUUUUGAUUUGUUUUUUUUUGUUUACUUUAUAGGUUGUUGUUGGAGUACUGUUUUAUACUGCUCUAUUUAAAAAUUUAAAUGCCUUUAUUUUACAAAAUUGUGGCUGCACUUUAAUUUAAAAAUAAUAAUUAUUCCUAUAUUUAA